AGCAUUGCAAUUAUUGCUCUUCAACGAGGAAUGCCUAGUAAGCGUACGUCAUCAGCGUGCGUUGAUUACGUCCCUGCCCUUUGUACACACCGCCCGUCGCUACUACCGAUUGAAUGGCUGAGUGAGGCCUUCGGACUGGCCCAGGGAGGUCGGCAACGACCACCCAGGGCCGGAAAGUUGGUCAAACUCCGUCAUUUAGAGGAAGUAAAAGUCGUAACAAGGUUUCCGUAGGUGAACCUGCGGAAGGAUCAUUA
rnacentral:rRNA from 1 species